GACGAACGCUGGCGGCGUGCUUAACACAUGCAAGUCGAACGGAAAGGCCCUGCUUGCAGGGUACUCGAGUGGCGAACGGGUGAGUAACACGUGGGUGAUCUGCCCUGCACUUCGGGAUAAGCCUGGGAAACUGGGUCUAAUACCGGAUAGGAGCCAUUUUUAGUGUGAUGGUUGGAAAGUUUUUUCGGUGUAGGAUGAGCUCGCGGGCUAUCAGCUUGUUGGUGGGGUAAUGGCCUACCAAGGCGGCGACGGGUAGCCGGCCUGAGAGGGUGGACGGCCACAUUGGGACUGAGAUACGGCCCAGACUCCUACGGGAGGCAGCAGUGGGGAAUAUUGCACAAUGGGCGCAAGCCUGAUGCAGCGACGCCGCGUGGGGGAUGACGGCCUUCGGGUUGUAAACUCCUUUCGCUAGGGACGAAGCUUUUUGUGACGGUACCUAGAUAAGAAGCACCGGCUAACUACGUG
rnacentral:rRNA from 1 species